CCUACGGGAGGCAGCAGUGGGGAAUCUUGCGCAAUGGGCGAAAGCCUGACGCAGCCAUGCCGCGUGAAUGAUGAAGGUCUUAGGAUUGUAAAAUUCUUUCACCGGGGACGAUAAUGACGGUACCCGGAGAAGAAGCCCCGGCUAACUUCGUGCCAGCAGCCGCGGUAAUACGAAGGGGACUAGCGUUGCUCGGAAUUACUGGGCGUAAAGGGAGCGUAGGCGGAUAGUUUAGUCAGAGGUGAAAGCCCAGGGCUCAACCUUGGAAUUGCCUUUGAUACUGGCUAUCUUGAGUACGGAAGAGGUAUGUGGAACUCCGAGUGUAGAGGUGAAAUUCGUAGAUAUUCGGAAGAACACCAGUGGCGAAGGCGACAUACUGGUCCGUUACUGACGCUGAGGCUCGAAAGCGUGGGGAGCAAACAGGAUUAGAUACCCUGGUAGUCCACGCUGUAAACGAUGAGUGCUAGUUGUCGGCAUGCAUGCAUGUCGGUGACGCAGCUAACGCAUUAAGCACUCCGCCUGGGGAGUACGGUCGCAAGAUUAAAACUCAAAGGAAUUGACGG
rnacentral:rRNA from 1 species